rnacentral:sRNA from 1 species
AUUUUGAGUCUUUUUUUGACGGUUAAAACAACGAUUUGGGACGAAGUUAUAGGCCCUGAAUGGAUGCUGAUUUUGGAUUCAGUUUUUGAAUUUAGAUUUUAGUUUAUAGAUUUUAGAUUUUAGUUUCAGAUUUUUAUUAUUAUAUUUUUGUUUCAAAAACCCCAAAAAAUUGGUUUUUGGUUUUUGAGAAAAAUAACGUUGAUUGAGUAAAAACUAGAUUUCCUAAAUUUUAGGAGAACUAAAAAACUAAAAUCAUGAAUGGAAAACUACAAGAAAAUA